rnacentral:piRNA from 1 species
UCCUCCACUUCAGACAGGUGCCUUGAGAGGGU